UACGGAGGGUGCAAACGUUGCUCGGAAUUAUUGGGCGUAAAGCGCACGUAGGCGGCCGAUUAAGUCGGGUGUGAAAGCCCAGGGCUCAACCCUGGAAGUGCACUCGAAACUGGACGGCUUGAAUAUGGAAGAGGGUUGCGGAAUUCCCGGUGUAGAGGUGAAAUUCGUAGAUAUCGGGAGGAACACCAGUGGCGAAGGCGGCAACCUGGGACAAUAUUGACGCUGAGGUGCGAAAGCGUGGGGAGCAAACAGG
rnacentral:rRNA from 1 species